UUCGAUUAAAUUAAAAAUUAUUAAAAUCGGUACACCCAGUAAAAAGUUAUAGCGGAUUUUCAAGAGUUUCCCUCGAUUUCUCUAGGAUCCCAUCAUCAGAUCCUGGUUUCCUUAUCAUGGUAUCAAACUACAGAUAUCCCCUUUCCAACAAAAAAAGAAUUAUCAAAAUCGGUACAUCCAGUAGAAAGUUAUUGCGGAUUUUCGAGAGUUUCCCUCGAUUUCUCUGGGAUCCCAUCAUCAGAUCCUAGUUUCGUUAUCAUGGUACCAAACUAGGGAUAUCCUCUUUCCAACAAAAAAAGAAUUAUCAAAAUCGGUACAUCCAGUAGAAAGUUAUGCGGUAUAAUACAACGUAGGUCGACGAAAAACGCGUCAAGUAAAAACGCAUUAUU
rnacentral:misc_RNA from 1 species